GUCUACAUUUGCAAUGCUACAUCAGGACGUUUUGGGUUUAUUCUAGGCCUUUUACCCAAUAUCAGAAUAUUACCUUCCUGAAGUUUGUAUUUGGCAUCUGGUAAACACAUUUUUACAAACAAACAAAUAAAGUUGCACAAUUAUUUAGAGCAUAUGACCGGUCAGUGACCUUGACCAGUCAUUGAUCGAAGACUAGUUUUCAACUCCAUCAUUCUUGUUUAUCUGAUGUGACACUCGAAUGAUAAUUCAUUUAAAUGCAAAUGCUUUAACAAUUAGGCUAAUGCAUGGGUGAUUCAUAGGCUAUGUUAUAUUACACUAAAAUAGCUUGCUUUUUAGAUCAGACUACAAAAGUUAAUCACAGCCAGAUAAAUGAAAUAAUAGGCCUACUUAAAACAGAGAUACAACCGUAUGUAGGUGAAUAUAUUUUUAUUUCAAUUAUGAAUCUUGAUGUUGUUAGUGAUAUAUAGUCACAUCCAAUAUCUGCAAAACUAUUAAGAUGAUCAGAAACAGUUCAUUUAGUGAGAAAACGUCAUAAUGCAAACAUGUAUAGAUACUUCCAAUUGCAGAACAAAAAGCAAAUCCAAGGGAAUUUGCGUAUUGCAACCUGUAUAACGCAAAAAAAAAAAAACUGUUUUCAACUACAACUGAGUGGCGUUGUUGCGCCGGCUGGAGAGAAGAUGUGUCCUUUUUCACAUAGAGCGAGCCAGGAAAAGCUGUAAAAUGCACAGACAAACAGACUCAGAAAAAUCCUUUACGAAGCAACGAAGACAAGAGGCUCUUGCGGAAAAAUGUAAAGAUAGGCUACGAUGUUCCCGUUUAUAGUGUAGCAAUUCCACUGUUACAACCCGAGCUCCGUAUAUCAGGAGAGCAGCUGGAUUUGAGAAGCAUCCCCCGGUUUCCACUCACUUUUCUUGGCAUGCCUUUGGAGCUCGAUCUCGGUUUUUUUUUGCUCCGUUUUUCACGCUCAUGAACGCCAAUACACGGAGACAGGGGCACGGCUGGUCCACAUCAGCGCUAUGGCUUUGUUUAAAUACACCUAGUCUACAUGACGCAUUGCUGUCAGACGGCACGGCUUUAUGUCAAAAUAAAUCUGAAGAAAAAAAAGUAAGAAAUCAAAUAAUUGCAGGAAGAUGGCGCCCACCAAACCUAGCAUUCAGCAAGACCCUACAAGAAGAGAACGCGACCCUUACUGGGAGAGGCCUGCUAAUACCAGCUCGUGUUCAGCCUCUAGGCCCAAGACACUCCACCUUGGAGGGCAACAACAUACCUCAUCGCCAUGGUAAUUCCAUCCCUUUCCCCCUUCUUUCCUUUCUCUGCCCUCCCUUCUUCCUUCUGGACAGGGGCAGACCACAGCUCAGCUGCUACACAUACUGUUACAAUACAAGCGAACUCUCUAUCUGGUCUGGUUAGAGAGACAACAUGGUUAAGGAUGCCGGCUUGUGCAUAAAAUGAUAACUCCACUUUACUUAACCCAAAAUGUAGGCCUAGAUGCACUUGGGUAUUGCUAUCCUUUUUUUCAAUGUUAGCUUCUGUGGUUUUUAAAUGUGGUCAAUUAGAAAAAUCAUGGUCGCUUCUGAGCAACACAUAAUGACAUGUAGAAUUAAAAAUCCCCCUGGAUGCUGUGUUGUAAUGUUCUUUAUUUUUUGUACAGGAACUAUUUAUGUCAUUUUGCUUUUUAUGUCAUUUAGCUUUUGCUUAAUGUCAUUUUUGACACUGAGUUAGUAGAUCUAAGGGGAGUUAGCUAUGUUUCUUCUACAGUAGGUAACUACAGUUCAAAUGAAGGAUCCCUCUCUUCCUUUGCCAUCCAAAGACAAUACAGUAUGUAGACAGUCAUACUCUAAUUAAAGCUGGAAUUGUGGCUCCGAGCAUUGAUCAACAAUACACCUCUCAGAGAAACACUGACUGUCCCUUUAUAACGCAGGGGAGCCUGUUCUGUGUUAUCAAACUGGGGGAGAUAAAAGGCUCCACAGUGGGUAACUAGUCAGUGGCAUUGUGGGAAGUCAACUUUUGACGUAUUCCUCUGGCUUACAGCUUCAUAAGAGCAUCUUUUCAUUUCUCCCCUCUUUCAUUUGUAGUAAACGAGCCAGGCUUACACAUUAGGAAAUGAACAUGGGGCAUAAUUCCUCUAGCUCUCAGAUGGAUUCCAUCCCUCUCUCCCUCUGACGUACAGCACAGGGGCGACGGCAGGAUUACUGUCGGCCUGAAUAAAGGGGAUUUAUGUAACGCUUUGAGAAAAAAACACUUCUUAAUAGGUCAUUACAGUCUGUGUUUAUGAUUAGCCUACUCUCAGGCCUGGAUCCCUUUAUGUGCUGUCUCACACACACACACACACACACACACACACACACACACACACACACACACACACACACACACACACACACACACACAGGCCAGUAUACUGAGGGUCCAGAUGAAUACAGCACACCUCGGCCUUUACUUUCUUCAGCUCCUCACUUUCUCUAUCAGGCUACUGAGAGUAGUGGCUCAAUUUAGCACUAGCAGUAUGGCUUCUUAGCCAGGCUAAGUAGUGGCCAAAUUCCAGCUGAGAUGAAGAGGAACACUGUGUGUGUGUGUUGCUUUAAAGUUGUGUAUGCCAUGUGGUAGGUAGCUAGGUUUAGAUGGGUUUUUCUAUGCUGAUGAAGGUAGGCCCCAUUCUGCCACCAUGAUUAGUUUAAACGGCGCCUGAACGUACGGGCCGGACAGCGUGUGUGUGUGUUGUAAGCGGUUUGCAGCACAGGAUGAAAUUGAGAUAAAUGGCUGUGGGUGAGAAGGAUGGCCACUUCUUCCCCGAGCAGGGCCGAACAGGGCUGCAGCGGCCCAGGUUCCCCCAGCACACCUGUCUCUUCUCGUUUACCAAGCGCUCUGAGGGGAGCUAGCAGUUCACUCCACUUGCCCCUGAUCCCCGUCUCAGUAAGCCCCGUCCCUUGCCCCCCACCCCCUUACUCCUUAUGUGCUGCUUGGCACACAAACACACACACACAAACACCCCUUGCCCCUAGAUAACAGCACACAAGGAUUGAGCUAUAUACCUUGAUGAGGUGUGGGAAGAUCAGGAUGAGUCUCUCACUGUCUGUGUCACAAGUACAGAUCACCAAUAAUACACUACUAUACAGUUAGGGCUGAGGAGCAUCCAUGUUGGCCCUUAGCCUAGGAGUAAAUGUUGCUGUACAUGAGAUGGUAGAGAUGACGCUGUCUAGUUUAUUCUAUUGAUGGACCAUAAAUGAAGCUUUUAUAGGUACAGUAUACAGUUAUUCAUUAUUACAUCCCAUUCAGAAUGAUCCUUGGUCUCCAAUUUUCUGUUUGCCUGUUUUCACCUUACUGACAAGGGCCCACAGUAUGAUAUAACCGGCUACCUCUUCCUGCGUUGUUUCUUAAUGCCAUGUCUGUCCUAACCCCAGCUCUAGAAACCAACCUUAUGUUGUGUAAGAACCAAGUGAAGCUACCGAUUAGAGUAGGAGAAAGAGCGAGACCGGCCUGCAGACUGGAGUUUUAUAUACCGUGUGGCAGGUGGCCUGCUUUGCCUAAGGAAUCUCUUUAGGGCAUGACAGCUCUGAAAACACAUAAAUCCUUCCUCCUCCCCUCCCCUCUUCCUCCCCUCUUCCUCUCCCUCUCUCUUAUCUCACAUUCCCAUUGCCAUGGGGAUUCUUUAUGCAUGCAGCUGCAAAACUUCCAUACUCCAGGUAUAAAACUCGAACAUAGCAGCUGUUCCUUUACCCCCAAACCAAAUAUAAAAGGAGACUU
rnacentral:lncRNA from 8 species